rnacentral:lncRNA from 1 species
GACUUGCACAUAUAAGCCCAGAUGGCCUGAAGUAACUGAAGAAUCACAAAAGAAGUGAAUAUGUCCUGCCCCACCUUAACUGAUGACAUUCCACCACAAAAGAAGUGUAAAUGGCCGGUCCUUGCCUUAAGUGAUGACAUUACCUUGUGAAAGUCCUUUUCCUGGCUCAUCCUGGCUCAAAAAGCACCCCCACUGAGCACCUUGCAACCCCCAUCCUGCCCGCCAGAGAACAAACCCCCUUUGACUGUAAUUUUCCUUUACCUACCCAAAUCCUAUAAAACGGCCCCACCCUUAUCUCCCUUCACUGACUCUCUUUUCGGACUCAGCCCGCCUGCACCCAGGUGAAAUAAACAGCCAUGUUGCUCACACAAAGCCUGU